GCUACCUUUUACUUUGUGGGACAAUGCCCAACCAACUGAGCCACAGCAGUCAGGGCCAGAAAAAUAUUUCAUAAUGGAACAGAUGUGGCAAGUGAAAUAUCUAUACCCUUUAUAUUUGAGGGAGGAGAACAAAGAGCUGAAACUAAAAGAUCAAUUUUCAGGGAUGGAAAAAUGAUCACCUACAUCCUACUUUGGAACGUUAUACAGUUGGCCCUCUGUAUCUGCGGGAUCAGCACCCACAGAUUCAAGCAUCCACAGGUGGAAAAUGUUGGGGAAAAGUGUUACGUUUGUUACGUCGCUGCUGUUAUGACAAAGCUGUGGUUCAAAGGUGGCUGUGCCAUUUACUAGUUGUUUUCCUUGGGCAGUUUAUUUGCUUUCGCCAAGCUUCAGUUUCAUCUCCUGUACAAUGGGAGUAAAAAUUGUCCCCAUUCUAUAGAGUGUUUGUAAGGUUUAAAUAAGACAAUGUUCAUAGAGCUCUUGGCAUUGCUCAAUAAAGUUAGCUAUUAGCAUGGAAUUUCACAGGGUUCCUUGCACCACUAUGCAUUUUAUAACUGAAAAAAGGUACUAGUUAGGGUUAAAAUUGUUAGGCUAGGUCUGUACUGACUUUUUUCCUUGUCAUUAUUCUUUAAGCAAUACAGUAUCAUGGCCGUUUGUGUAGCAUUUACAUUGUAAAGGUAUUAGAAGGAGUCUAGAGAUAACUUAAACUGUAUGGGAGGAGAUGGGUAGGUUAUAUGCCAUUUCGUAUAAGGCUUUGAUAUCUCAGUAGGUCAUCGAACCAGUCCCCCCUCGGAUACCGAGAGACGACCAUAUAGUAUAUUCUACUUAAACUCCAUCUGAGGAAGAAAAUCAAAGAUUGGACCUUUCUGCUGCACUGAAGUAUCACAUGCACAUGUGUACCAUGUACUGUGAUGGUGUUAAGAGGCAACUCACAACCAAGUUUUAGAUUUAUGAACUACUAUCCAACUUCUGAACUGCGUUUUUGUCAACCGUUUUCAAAAUGCUUGCCUUCCAUUUUCCCACAUGGUCCAGGACCCCAGAAUGCUGCUGCUCACGGUGGGAAGAGACCACCUGCCCGACAGUGGGCUCCCCUUGGUCUGGGUGAGAGCGGUCACUCAGAGGAUUUUGGCUGGUGUAAAGGCAGGCUGCUGAGCGUUCCUCUCCCUCCUGGCCUGCACAGGUGCCACCCAGCCCAUACCAUUUUCCUUCUUAAUUCACGUUGCUCUGACUGCGAACAAUUUUUUCCCUCCUUUUUAACUUUGCCAAGCCCUCCCGGGGCAGGGCCAAGCAGAGCUCCCGAGCCUCCACGCCCUCAGCCCCUCCCAGCACCUCUCUGGUUGUUCUGAGACCCUGGUGCCUGGGAGGGCGGGAACUGUUGUGGGCCCGGCUCCGGGGGCACUUACAUCUCUUGCCGUCCCUGUUCAGGCCUUGGAGUUUUAAAUUUCCAGGAAAUGAAUGCCAUGCAGUGUUCUUACCGCCACCCCUAACUUUCUUUACCUCUGUUUCCUGUUAAUAAACUUUACCUUUCUCGCCAUCUGCAUUCCUGGGAAGGGAGGUUCCGCUCAGUCCUGCUCUAACGCGCUCUUUCCCGGUGCGGGCAACAUUCUCUACUCUCCGUGUGGCUUAGUGGUUUUGACUGCUAAGCAGAGCGGGAGACGAAAUUCAAUCGUUGGCUCUCUAAGUGGUAUUUAUUUCUCUAGUAUUUUGGGCAUCAGGCUUCCAAGAAGGAGAAAUGAGUGUUUUGUUAAAAAGGAGUGGGUGGGUGGGUUAGAUGUGAAAGUAACACUUAGUUUCUGGAAGAAAGCAGCACCCUGUGUGUCUUGUAUGCAGCCUGGCUGCUAGUCCCAGCUUCAUCAUUGCCUUGCAGGCAGCAGCAUGGCCAGCCCCUCAGUUGCCUGAUUUGUUAGGUGAAGUGGCUCAAUGAGAAGUCGUACUGAAUGAGGGUUAAGACACAAACUGCAAAUGACAAACCCGUGGUUGAAAAGUGGCUGCACCUUUUACUAGUUGUUUUUCCUUAGGCAGUUUAUUUGAGCUCUCUAAGCCCCUGUUUCAUCGCCUAUACAAUGGGAAUAAAAAUUGUACCUAUUUUAUAGAGUGGCUGUAAGGUUUAAAAAAGAUAAUGUUCAUAGAGCUCUUAGCAAGUGCUUGAUUAAGUUAGCUCUUAGCAUGGAAGUUCACAGGGUACCUUCCACCUCUAUGCAUUUUAUGACUCAAUGUGAAAAAAGA